rnacentral:rRNA from 1 species
UACAGAGGGGGCAAGCGUUGUUCGGAAUUACUGGGCGUAAAGGGCGCGUAGGCGGCCUGUUAAGUCGAACGUGAAAUCCCCGGGCUCAACCCGGGAACUGCGUCCGAUACUGGCAGGCUUGAAUUCGGGAGAGGGAUGUGGAAUUCCAGGUGUAGCGGUGAAAUGCGUAGAUAUCUGGAGGAACACCGAUGGCGAAGGCGGCAUCCUGGACCGAUAUUGACGCUGAUGCGCGAAAGCCAGGGGAGGCAAAACGGGG